ACCCCCUCUUGGCCUGCUGGCUAAGAUCAUGUGUAGUAUCCGUUCUUAUCGGUUGAACAUUUUCUGGUAGUUAGAACUAGCUGUACUUCUCAAACCCAGCAGGCUGCCUCACACCUC
ensembl:snRNA U2 U2 spliceosomal RNA